AGGACGAACGCUGGCGGCGUGCUUAACACAUGCAAGUCGAGCGGUAAGGCCUUUCGGGGUACACGGAGCGGCGAACGGGUGAGUAACACGUGGGUGAUCUGCCCUGCACUCUGGGAUAAGCCUGGGAAACUGGGUCUAAUACCGGAUAUGACCUGCUCUCGCAUGGGGGUGGGUGGAAAGA
rnacentral:rRNA from 1 species